GAGUUUGAUCGUGGCUCAGGAUGAACGCUGGCGGCGUGCCUAAUACAUGCAAGUCGAGCGAACGGACGAGAAGCUUGCUUCUCUGAUGUUAGCGGCGGACGGGUGAGUAACACGUGGAUAACCUACCUAUAAGACUGGGAUAACUUCGGGAACCGGAGCUAAUACCGGAUAAUAUUUUGAACCGCAUGGUUCAAAAGUGAAGACGGUCUUGCUGUCACUUAUAGAUGGAUCCGCGCUGCAUUAGCUAGUUGGUAAGGUAACGGCUUACCAAGGCAACGAUGCAUAGCCGACCUGAGAGGGUGAUCGGCCACACUGGAACUGAGACACGGUCCAGACUCCUACGGGAGGCAGCAGUUAGGGAAUCUUCCGCAAUGGGCGAAAGCCUGACGGAGCAACGCCGCGUGAGUGAUGAAGGUCUUCGGAUCGUAAAACUCUGUUAUUAGGGAGAACAUAUGUGUAAGUAACUGUGCACAUCUUGACGGUACCUAAUCAGAAAGCCACGGCUAACUACGUG
rnacentral:rRNA from 1 species